rnacentral:misc_RNA from 1 species
AGCAGCCGCGGUAAUUCCAGCUCCAAUAGCGUAUAUUAAAGUUGUUGCAGUUAAAAAGCUCGUAGUUGAAUUUCGGGACUAAUAUGUCGGUCGUGCCUCGGUACGUACUGGCUUAUUGGUUUCUCCUUUCUGAAGAACCAUGAUGUCAUUUAUUUGGUGUCGUGGGGAAUCAGGACUGUUACUUUGAAAAAAUUAGAGUGUUUAAAGCAGGCUUACGCUUGAAUACAUUAGCAUGGAAUAAUGAAAUAGGACGUUUGAUUCUAUUUUGUUGGUUUCUAGGAUUGACGUAAUGAUUAAUAGGGAUAGUUGGGGGCAUUAGUAUUCAAUUGUCAGAGGUGAAAUUCUUGGAUUUAUUGAAGACUAACUACUGCGAAAGCAUUUGCCAAGGAUGUUUUCAUUAAUCAAGAACGAAAGUUAGGGGAUCGAAGACGAUCAGAUACCGUCGUAGUCUUAACCAUAAACUAUGCCGACUAGGGAUCGGAUGAUGUUAAUUUUUAAUGACUCAUUCGGCGCCUUACGG